GAGACGUUAGUAAAACAAUUACAUAGCUUUGUCAAAGCUAAAUUGCAGGUGAAACUCCCGCACAUCUCU
rnacentral:tRNA from 1 species